rnacentral:lncRNA from 1 species
GGAAAAAUCACAUCUUAAGAUAGAUUCAAGGAUGGAAUACCAUAACUCACAAGCUCUCUUGUUGAAUCGGGUAAUCAUAACUAUUAGAGGUUAUUUUGAAAUACUUUUUUAGUGUUUUAGGACUAUUAACGUCAUGUUCAAAUCACUCUGAGGCUUUUUGUUCCUUUUUUUUUUUUCUUGUUGUUGUUUUACUGUUCAGGGGGAUGCAAUGACUCAUUGGCAUAUUUCCAGCACAAGAUGCAUUUGAAUAAUACAUGACAUGCCCUUUAGCUAGCAUCACAAUGCCAGAUUUAAAACAAGGUUUGCAAGUGCUGGAUUCACUGAAGGGAGAAGAUGUGCAGGCCUGUGGGGUGAGCCUCAUCUCCUCAGAAAACUAGCAAUGAACUGUCAUUGGGAAGGAAGUGGCUGACUGCCUUCUGAAGAGGGAUGCAGACUAUGUUAAAGAAGUUCUUGAGAUAAGAACACAGGAUCUGGAUCGUGCUGCCAGUACACCUCUGAGACCAAGCAGGAUAAUUGCUCAUAGUGAGAAGAGCUUCAUGGCCAUGUAGAGUGUGACUCAAUGCCAACAAAACCCAGGGAGAACACCUGCUCACGCCCCAUCGAGGGACUUUUUUCACUUCCUCGUUUCUGCCGCAACUGUCAGUUAACUCAGAGAUAUUAUGGCAUGGAAUUAAAUGCAUCCCCUUUCAUUCACGUCUGGUUCCUAUUCCAGCCCCAUCCCUGACUUAGACAGAGCCCCUUCUCUGACUUAAAGCUGAGUUUGGUGAGUAAAGCACUCCAAGUUGCAGAGCACACACACUCAGAUAUACAAAUAUAGGGCUGGUCAUUACAGGGAACCACAAGAUCAGGUACAUAAAACUGGUAAAAAAUAACUGAUUUACAGCUAAAUGCAUAAACAGAGGAAACUUGUCUGGAGGCAAAGCAAUAACGUGAGCAUUACCUUAGCAAUUCACAGCCUAGUCAUUCAUGUGAAAGAUCUCUUCAAAGCAGCUGUUUCAGAUUCUGG